ACUGUAUCGAGGCAGGGCAUUUUGAACCAGAAGCAAAUUUCUCCAGUCAACUCUAUCAAAUCUAGGGAGCAUGUUGAUAUAUAGUUUCUGGAUUUGAAGUUUGCCAAGGCAACACACAGUCUUGAAUCUGUCAUCAAGGGUACCAUGUAGCUGCUGGUUUGCCAUAAGAUCCUCUCUGCAGUGAAUGUACGCACAACUUUUUAGUUUCCAAAAAAGAAAAGAAAAAGUAGGCGCUGCCUUUGUUAUAAAUAGCCAUAUGGCCUAGCCCCUGAACAAUGAAAUCUUGGAGGAAGAUGGAGAAACUUUCAUACGUUGAAGCUAUAUCUGAUUGGCGUGGCAGAUUCUACGAAGAUGAUUAUCUAUAUAUGAAUCUGCCACCCCAUUCAGAUCUGAUUUCAAUCUAUGAUUAUUAUCUAUUGAUCCAUCAGGUAUAUUUUAAAGUUCUUUGUUCAAUAAUUGUUUUCAGUAUAGUAGAAAAAUACAUAGCAUUAGGUGAUGCAUCCGAUACAAUAACGCAAAACUUGCGGUGCAUGAAUUUACGACAAAUACUGACAUGAACUCUUGGUCUAAUUAUUGCAGAAAUAAGGGCCAUCAUAACAAGUUAAUAAAGAAUGGAUCCAAGAAUUUUAACGUUCUGUAUCAUUCUAACCAAAUCUAAGUUUCAUACUUUUUCUUCAAUUUUGAGUCUUUGAAAUACGAAGCAGUAAAAGAAGAUGUUGACAUGGGAUAAGACCGUAAAUGCUUUGGCAAUUUAGCACUUGUUUUUCCACGGUGAUGGUCAGAAGAAAUUUAGUACUAUUUGUUAAGCCAAGAAAUCAUAUUGUACAUAAAUGUAGUAGCUCUUACUAGUUAUAAUUCAGAUGGGAGCAGCUGCGCCGAGCCUCUCC
rnacentral:lncRNA from 1 species